GCUUGCUUGUUGGGGUUGUAGGACACUCUAUACGGAGUUACAAAGGACGACAUUAGACGAAUCAUCUGGAAAGAUGAAUCAAAGAAGGUAAUAAUCCUGUAGUCGAAAAUGUUGUCUCUCUUGAGUGGAUCCUGAGUACGACGGAGCACGUGAAAUUCCGUCGGAAUCUGGGAGGACCAUCUCCUAAGGCUAAAUACUCUCUAGUGACCGAUAGUGAACCAGUACCGUGAGGGAAAGGUGAAAAGCACCCCGGAAGGGGAGUGAAAUAGAACCUGAAACCGUGUGCUUACAAGUAGUCAGAGCCCGUUAAUGGGUGAUGGCGUGCCUUUUGUAGAAUGAACCGGCGAGUUACGAUUUGAUGCAAGGUUAAGCAGUAAAUGUGGAGCCGUAGCGAAAGCGAGUCUGAAUAGGGCGUUUAGUAUUUGGUCGUAGACCCGAAACCAGGUGAUCUACCCUUGGUCAGGUUGAAGUUCAGGUAACACUGAAUGGAGGACCGAACCGACUUACGUUGAAAAGUGAGCGGAUGAACUGAGGGUAGCGGAGAAAUUCCAAUCGAACCUGGAGAUAGCUGGUUCUCUCCGAAAUAGCUUUAGGGCUAGCCUCAAGUGAUGAUUAUUGGAGGUAGAGCACUGUUUGGACGAGGGGCCCCUCUCGGGUUACCGAAUUCAGACAAACUCCGAAUGCCAAUUAAUUUAACUUGGGAGUCAGAACAUGGGUGAUAAGGUCCGUGUUCGAAAGGGAAACAGCCCAGACCACCAGCUAAGGUCCCAAAAUAUAUGUUAAGUGGAAAAGGAUGUGGCGUUGCCCAGACAACUAGGAUGUUGGCUUAGAAGCAGCCAUCAUUUAAAGAGUGCGUAAUAGCUCACUAGUCGAGUGACACUGCGCCGAAAAUGUACCGGGGCUAAACAUAUUACCGAAGCUGUGGAUUGUCCUUUGGACAAUGGUAGGAGAGCGUUCUAAGGGCGUUGAAGCAUGAUCGUAAGGACAUGUGGAGCGCUUAGAAGUGAGAAUGCCGGUGUGAGUAGCGAAAGACGGGUGAGAAUCCCGUCCACCGAUUGACUAAGGUUUCCAGAGGAAGGCUCGUCCGCUCUGGGUUAGUCGGGUCCUAAGCUGAGGCCGACAGGCGUAGGCGAUGGAUAACAGGUUGAUAUUCCUGUACCACCUAUAAUCGUUUUAAUCGAUGGGGGGACGCAGUAGGAUAGGCGAAGCGUGCGAUUGGAUUGCACGUCUAAGCAGUAAGGCUGAGUAUUAGGCAAAUCCGGUACUCGUUAAGGCUGAGCUGUGAUGGGGAGAAGACAUUGUGUCUUCGAGUCGUUGAUUUCACACUGCCGAGAAAAGCCUCUAGAUAGAAAAUAGGUGCCCGUACCGCAAACCGACACAGGUAGUCAAGAUGAGAAUUCUAAGGUGAGCGAGCGAACUCUCGUUAAGGAACUCGGCAAAAUGACCCCGUAACUUCGGGAGAAGGGGUGCUCUUUAGGGUUAACGCCCAGAAGAGCCGCAGUGAAUAGGCCCAAGCGACUGUUUAUCAAAAACACAGGUCUCUGCUAAACCGUAAGGUGAUGUAUAGGGGCUGACGCCUGCCCGGUGCUGGAAGGUUAAGAGGAGUGGUUAGCUUCUGCGAAGCUACGAAUCGAAGCCCCAGUAAACGGCGGCCGUAACUAUAACGGUCCUAAGGUAGCGAAAUUCCUUGUCGGGUAAGUUCCGACCCGCACGAAAGGCGUAACGAUUUGGGCACUGUCUCAACGAGAGACUCGGUGAAAUCAUAGUACCUGUGAAGAUGCAGGUUACCCGCGACAGGACGGAAAGACCCCGUGGAGCUUUACUGUAGCCUGAUAUUGAAAUUCGGCACAGCUUGUACAGGAUAGGUAGGAGCCUUUGAAACGUGAGCGCUAGCUUACGUGGAGGCGCUGGUGGGAUACUACCCUAGCUGUGUUGGCUUUCUAACCCGCACCACUUAUCGUGGUGGGAGACAGUGUCAGGCGGGCAGUUUGACUGGGGCGGUCGCCUCCUAAAAGGUAACGGAGGCGCUCAAAGGUUCCCUCAGAAUGGUUGGAAAUCAUUCAUAGAGUGUAAAGGCAUAAGGGAGCUUGACUGCGAGACCUACAAGUCGAGCAGGGUCGAAAGACGGACUUAGUGAUCCGGUGGUUCCGCAUGGAAGGGCCAUCGCUCAACGGAUAAAAGCUACCCCGGGGAUAACAGGCUUAUCUCCCCCAAGAGUUCACAUCGACGGGGAGGUUUGGCACCUCGAUGUCGGCUCAUCGCAUCCUGGGGCUGUAGUCGGUCCCAAGGGUUGGGCUGUUCGCCCAUUAAAGCGGUACGCGAGCUGGGUUCAGAACGUCGUGAGACAGUUCGGUCCCUAUCCGUCGUGGGCGUAGGAAAUUUGAGAGGAGCUGUCCUUAGUACGAGAGGACCGGGAUGGACAUACCUCUGGUGUACCAGUUGUCGUGCCAACGGCAUAGCUGGGUAGCUAUGUGUGGACGGGAUAAGUGCUGAAAGCAUCUAAGCAUGAAGCCCCCCUCAAGAUGAGAUUUCCCAACUUCGGUUAUAAGAUCCCUCAAAGAUGAUGAGGUUAAUAGGUUCGAGGUGGAAGCAUGGUGACAUGUGGAGCUGACGAAUACUAAUCGAUCGAAGACU
rnacentral:rRNA from 1 species